rnacentral:rRNA from 1 species
GAGUUUGAUCCUGGCUCAGGAUGAACGCUGGCGGCGUGCCUAACACAUGCAAGUCGAACGGGUGUACGGGAAGGAAGGCUUCGGCCGGAAAACCUGUGCAUGAGUGGCGGACGGGUGAGUAACGCGUGGGCAACCUGGCCUGUACAGGGGGAUAACACUUAGAAAUAGGUGCUAAUACCGCAUAACGGGGGAAGCCGCAUGGCUUUUCCCUGAAAACUCCGGUGGUACAGGAUGGGCCCGCGUCUGAUUAGCCAGUUGGCAGGGUAACGGCCUACCAAAGCGACGAUCAGUAGCCGGCCUGAGAGGGCGGACGGGCCACACUGGGACUGAGACACGGCCCAGACUCCUACGGGAGGCAGCAGUGGGGGAUAUUGCACAAUGGGGGGAACCCUGAUGCAGCGACGCCGCGUGGGUGAAGAAGCGCCUCGGCGCGUAAAGCCCCGUCAGCAGGGAAGAAAAUGACGGUACCUGAAGAGAAGCCCGGCUAACUACGUGCCAGCCGCCGCCGU